AAACCGGAGGAAGGUGGGGAUGACGUCAAGUCAUCAUGGCCCUUACGGCCUGGGCUACACACGUGCUACAAUGGUCGGUAACAAAGGGUUGCCAAAGCCGCGAGGUGGAGCUAAUCCCAACUAAAACCGAUCGUAGUCCGGAUCGCAGUCUGCAACUCGACUGCGUGAAGUCGGAAUCGCUAGUAAUCGUCGAAUCAGAAUGUCACGGUGAAUACGUUCCCGGGCCUU
rnacentral:rRNA from 1 species